rnacentral:rRNA from 1 species
UACGAAGGGGGCUAGCGUUGCUCGAAUUACUGGGCGUAAAGCGCACGUAGGCGGCUUUCUAAGUCGGGGGUGAAAUCCUGGAGCUCAACUCCAGAACUGCCUUCGAUACUGGAAAGCUCGAGUCCGGGAGAGGUGAGUGGAACUGCGAGUGUAGAGGUGAAAUUCGUAGAUAUUCGCAAGAACACCAGUGGCGAAGGCGGCUCACUG